rnacentral:lncRNA from 1 species
CCUCAGGCCAAAAAUGUUUAAUCAGGCUCCAGCCUUAUCUUUCAAGUAACAGGAAAUACGGUAAUAAAGGAAAGAGUAAAUGACACCAGGAGGGAACGCAUAGGGGACAUUCUACAAGAAACUCCUGAAUUGUGCGAAAAGAUCAAUGUAAUGAAAAAAAGACUGUUUUAGAUUAAAAGAGACUAAAGAGACACAAAAGCCAGGUGCAAAAUGUGAGUGUUGAUCGGAUUCUGUUGAAAAAAGUUAUAACUGGAACAUGCGAAUAUAAUAAAUGAUGCCAUGGCAUUACUCUCCGUAUCCACCGAUUCUGCAUCCACAGAUUCAACCAACUUCAGAUCAAAAAUAUUUUGGGGGAAAAUAAAAAUAAUACAACAAUAAAGAUGAUACAGAUGAAAACAAUAUAGUAUAACAACUAUGUACAUUGUCUUAGGUAUUAUAAGUAAUCUAGAUAUUAUUUUAAUUUUAAUGUUUUUUAAAAUUUUACUUUUUUUUUUUUGAGACAAGGACUCACUCUGUCACCCAGGCUGGAGUGUGCAGUGGGGCAAUCUCAGCUCACUACAACUUCCACCUCUGGGGCUCAAGUGAUCCUCCUACCUCAGCCUCCUGGGUAGCUGGGACUACAGGUACACACCACCACACCUGGCUAAUUUUUGUAUUUUUUGUAGAGACGAGGUUUCACCAUGUUGCCUACACUGGUCUUGAACUCCUGAGCUCAAGCAAUCUGCCUGCCUUGGCCUCCCAAAGUCCUGGGAUUACAGGCGUGAGCUGCUGCGCCUGGCCUAGAGAUGAUUUAAAGCAUACAGCAGGGGUAGAAAGGGUAGGAGGAAGUGGGUAGACAGAGAUUUGUUAAAGGAUAUAAAAUUACAGCUAGAUAAGUGGGCUAAGUUCUAGUGGUCUAUAGCAUUUUAGGAUGACUGUAUUACAUCAUUUCAAAUAGCUAGAAAGAGAAUAUUGAAUGUUCCCAACAAAAAGAAAUGAUAAAUGUUCCAGAUAAAUAUGCUAAUUACCCUGAUCUCAUCACUAUACAUUAUAUGUAUCAAAACAUCACUAUGCACCCUAUAAAAGUGUACUUGUUUAUAUCAAUUAAGAAAAUAAAAGAAAAAAAUGUAAAUAAGGCAUAGAGAAAGAUAUGGAAAUACUAUGGCACUUUAUAUACAGGACUUGAGCAUUCGUGUAUUUUGGUAUCCACAGGAGGUCCUGGAACUAAUCCUCCAUGGAUACCAAGGGAUGAUAGUAUUGUUAAUUUUCUUAGCUGUGACAAUGGUAAUGUGGUUAUAAAUGAAAACUUCCUGGCUGGAUGUGGUGGUACAUGUCUGUGAUCCCAGCACUUUGGGAGAAUUUGGGGAUUUAUGUCCAUUCUUUAGCAUUUGGUAGAAUUCACCAUCUGGUCCUGGGCUUUUCUUUUGUUGGGAAGCUUUUGAUGACUGGUUCUACCUAUGUGUUUUAGGUUGGUUCAGAUUUUUUCCUUUUUCUUCUUUUUUUGAGGUCAGGUCUCUGUCUCUGCCUCAUUCCUGGCUGGAGUGCAGUGGUGCUGUCAUAGGUCGUUGCAGCUUUGAACUCCUGGGCUCUAGCUAUCCUCCUGCUUCAGCCUCCCAAGUAGCUGGGGCUACAGGCACGUGCCAUGACACCUGGUUGAUUUCUAAAGAUUUUGUCGAGGCAGGGUCUCUGUUGCCCAGGCUGGUCUCGAACUCCUGGCCUCAGGCCAUCCUCCUAACUAGUUCUCCCCAAGUGCUGGGAUCACAGGUGUGAGCCACUGCACCUGGCCCUGUUCAGAUUUUCUAUUUUUCCUGGGACAAUUUUGGUCAUUUGUAUCUUUCUAGGAAUUUUUUUGUUGUUGUUUUGAGACAGAGUCUCACUCUGUCACCCAAGCUGGAGUGCAAUGGCAUGAUCUCAGCUCACUGCAACCUCUGCCUCCUGGGUUCAAGUGAUUUUCCUGCCUCAGCCUCGUGAAUAGCUGGGAUUACAGGUGUGAGCCACCACGCCUGGCUAAUUUUUGUGUUUUUAGUAGAGACAGGGUUUCACCACUUUGGCCAGGUUGGUCUCGAACUUCUGACCUCAGGUGAUCUGCCUGCCUCGGCCUCCCAAAGUGCCGCGAUUACAGGCGUGAGCCACCACACCCAGCCAAGAUGUCGCAUCUUUUUAAAUGUUGGCAUUUGCAGCUAUAAAUUUCCCUCAGAGCAGUUUUUGCCGCAUUCCUUAAGUUCUGGUAUGUUGUUUUCAUCCAUCUCUAUUUCCUAAUUUUUCUCGUGAUUUCUCCUUUGACCCUUUGGCUGUUAAAAAGUGUGUUCAAUUUCUAUGUAUGUGUGAAUUUUCAUUUUCCUUCUGGUAUGGAUUUCUGGUUUUAUUCCAUUGUGAUUGGAGAAGGUGGUUUGCAGGAUUCCGAUCUCUAAUUUACUGAGACUUGCUUUGUGCACUAACGUGUGGUCUGUCCUGGAGAACGUUCCCUGUGCACUUAGAAACGUGUGUUCUGCUGCUAUUGGGUGGAGCACUGUUAAGUCUGGUCAGCCUUUUGGUUUUUAUGUAAUACUUGGCACAUUCACAAGAAAAUGUGUGAAACAGAAAGUACGACAAAGUGAAACCCACGAAGCCACCACUGACCCUGAGGUUCAAAACCUCCAGCAUCUCUGCUCUUCCCUAAGCACAGCUCCGUCCCCUCCCCACGGGUGAGCACUGUGUUGUACUGACUCCCUGCCCUCCCUGAUGACUUUAGCACCUGGGUAUGAAUUCCACACAUAUUUGGUUUUGAGCUUUAUAAAAAUGGCAUCAUACUGUAUGAACUGUCUUGCUUUUUCAUCCCACGUUGUUUCUGAGAGGUGUUUGUGAUGGAGCACAGGGCCAC